UACAGAGGUCUCAAGCGUUGUUCGGAUUCAUUGGGCGUAAAGGGUGCGUAGGCGGCUUGCUAAGUCAGGUGUGAAACCUCCAGGCUCAACCUGGAGCCGCCACCCGAUACUGGUAUGGCUAGAGUCCGGUAGGGGACCACGGAAUUCCUGGUGUAGCGGUGAAAUGCGCAGAUAUCAGGAGGAACACCGGUGGCGAAGGCGGUGGUCUGGGCCGGCACUGACGCUGAGGAGCGAAAGCGUGGGGAGCAAACAGG
rnacentral:rRNA from 1 species